GCUGUAGUUGGUCACGUGCGUUUGAGCACUUUAUGACUUACAAAAUGCUUUCCUAGGAAUGCUCUCACUUGGGCCGCGGAACAACCCGGGGAAGAUGGUGUUAUUAUCUCCUUUCACAGGGGAGGAAAUUAAAGCUUGGAGAGCCCGCUCCAAUUACAGCGCCAGAACUCGCGCCCGAGGACACACCCAAAACAAGGGGCCCAGGAUAAAGACCUCGAGGGUGCCUGGGCUGUGACCGGAUGCUCCUUUGGCAGCUCGCCGUGCCGGCGGGCUCUCGCAUUCCCUGCAGCUUCUGCCUGCCGAUGUCUGCAGAGCUCACGUCCUCUGCCGCAAAGGACUCGUUCCAGCGAGGCCUCCCUGACCCCCUCGCUGCCUAAUGUCCCUAAAACCCUAGCCCUCGGUAGGGUCUACGCAGUGCUUCUCAAACCUGAAUGUCGAAUCACCUGGGCAUCUUGCUGCAACCCAAAUGCACAUUCAGCGGGCUCAGGACGGGUCCCCAAGUUUCUAAGAGGUUCCCACCUUAUGUUGCUGCUGCCCGUCCGCCUGGGCAUGUGGAGGACAUUUU